CUGUGAGCUCGAUGAGUAGGGCGGGACACGUGGUAUCCUGUCUGAAUAUGGGGGGACCAUCCUCCAAGGCUAAAUACUCCUGACUGACCGAUAGUGAACCAGUACCGUGAGGGAAAGGCGAAAAGAACCCCGGCGAGGGGAGUGAAAAAGAACCUGAAACCGUGUACGUACAAGCAGUGGGAGCACAGAGCAAUCUGUGUGACUGCGUACCUUUUGUAUAAUGGGUCAGCGACUUAUAUUCUGUAGCAAGGUUAACCGAAUAGGGGAGCCGAAGGGAAACCGAGUCUUAACUGGGCGUUAAGUUGCAGGGUAUAGACCCGAAACCCGGUGAUCUAGCCAUGGGCAGGUUGAAGGUUGGGUAACACUAACUGGAGGACCGAACCGACUAAUGUUGAAAAAUUAGCGGAUGACUUGUGGCUGGGGGUGAAAGGCCAAUCAAACCGGGAGAUAGCUGGUUCUCCCCGAAAGCUAUUUAGGUAGCGCCUCGUGAAUUCAUCUCCGGGGGUAGAGCACUGUUUCGGCAAGGGGGUCAUCCCGACUUACCAACCCGAUGCAAACUGCGAAUACCGGAGAAUGUUAUCACGGGAGACACACGGCGGGUGCUAACGUCCGUCGUGAAGAGGGAAACAACCCAGACCGCCAGCUAAGGUCCCAAAGUCAUGGUUAAGUGGGAAACGAUGUGGGAAGGCCCAGACAGCCAGGAUGUUGGCUUAGAAGCAGCCAUCAUUUAAAGAAAGCGUAAUAGCUCACUGGUCGAGUCGGCCUGCGCGGAAGAUGUAACGGGGCUAAACCAUGCACCGAAGCUGCGGCAGCGACACUGUGUGUUGUUGGGUAGGGGAGCGUUCUGUAAGCCUGUGAAGGUGUGCUGUGAGGCAUGCUGGAGGUAUCAGAAGUGCGAAUGCUGACAUAAGUAACGAUAAAGCGGGUGAAAAGCCCGCUCGCCGGAAGACCAAGGGUUCCUGUCCAACGUUAAUCGGGGCAGGGUGAGUCGACCCCUAAGGCGAGGCCGAAAGGCGUAGUCGAUGGGAAACAGGUUAAUAUUCCUGUACUUGGUGUUACUGCGAAGGGGGGACGGAGAAGGCUAUGUUGGCCGGGCGACGGUUGUCCCGGUUUAAGCGUGUAGGCUGGUUUUCCAGGCAAAUCCGGAAAAUCAAGGCUGAGGCGUGAUGACGAGGCACUACGGUGCUGAAGCAACAAAUGCCCUGCUUCCAGGAAAAGCCUCUAAGCAUCAGGUAACAUCAAAUCGUACCCCAAACCGACACAGGUGGUCAGGUAGAGAAUACCAAGGCGCUUGAGAGAACUCGGGUGAAGGAACUAGGCAAAAUGGUGCCGUAACUUCGGGAGAAGGCACGCUGAUAUGUAGGUGAAGUCCCUCGCGGAUGGAGCUGAAAUCAGUCGAAGAUACCAGCUGGCUGCAACUGUUUAUUAAAAACACAGCACUGUGCAAACACGAAAGUGGACGUAUACGGUGUGACGCCUGCCCGGUGCCGGAAGGUUAAUUGAUGGGGUCAGCGCAAGCGAAGCUCUUGAUCGAAGCCCCGGUAAACGGCGGCCGUAACUAUAACGGUCCUAAGGUAGCGAAAUUCCUUGUCGGGUAAGUUCCGACCUGCACGAAUGGCGUAAUGAUGGCCAGGCUGUCUCCACCCGAGACUCAGUGAAAUUGAACUCGCUGUGAAGAUGCAGUGUACCCGCGGCAAGACGGAAAGACCCCGUGAACCUUUACUAUAGCUUGACACUGAACAUUGAGCCUUGAUGUGUAGGAUAGGUGGGAGGCUUUGAAGUGUGGACGCCAGUCUGCAUGGAGCCGACCUUGAAAUACCACCCUUUAAUGUUUGAUGUUCUAACGUGGACCCGUGAUCCGGGUUGCGGACAGUGUCUGGUGGGUAGUUUGACUGGGGCGGUCUCCUCCUAAAGAGUAACGGAGGAGCACGAAGGUUGGCUAAUCCUGGUCGGACAUCAGGAGGUUAGUGCAAUGGCAUAAGCCAGCUUGACUGCGAGCGUGACGGCGCGAGCAGGUGCGAAAGCAGGUCAUAGUGAUCCGGUGGUUCUGAAUGGAAGGGCCAUCGCUCAACGGAUAAAAGGUACUCCGGGGAUAACAGGCUGAUACCGCCCAAGAGUUCAUAUCGACGGCGGUGUUUGGCACCUCGAUGUCGGCUCAUCACAUCCUGGGGCUGAAGUAGGUCCCAAGGGUAUGGCUGUUCGCCAUUUAAAGUGGUACGCGAGCUGGGUUUAGAACGUCGUGAGACAGUUCGGUCCCUAUCUGCCGUGGGCGCUGGAGAACUGAGGGGGGCUGCUCCUAGUACGAGAGGACCGGAGUGGACGCAUCACUGGUGUUCGGGUUGUCAUGCCAAUGGCACUGCCCGGUAGCUAAAUGCGGAAGAGAUAAGUGCUGAAAGCAUCUAAGCACGAAACUUGCCCCGAGAUGAGUUCUCCCUGACCCUUUAAGGGUCCUGAAGGAACGUUGAAGACGACGACGUUGAUAGGCCGGGUGUGUAAGCGCAGCGAUGCGUUGAGCUAACCGGUACUAAUGAACCGU
rnacentral:rRNA from 1 species